UACAUACUCCCUCCGUCCGGAAAUACCUGUCAUCAAAAUAAAUUAAAGGGGAUGUAUGUAGAUGUAUUUUAGUUCUAGAUACAUCCCUUUUUGUCCAUUUUGAUGACAAGUAUUUUCGGACGGAGGGAGUACCUC
rfam:Triticum aestivum genome assembly, contig: Triticum_aestivum_CS42_TGACv1_scaffold_145993_2BS